AAGAGACGCCAACGCUUUCUUUUCCGAUUUGGACCUCUGAUUUCUUUUGAUGCAUUACAUAUCAUAAACAAACUCUUUCCAAUUUCUUUUUUCUUCUCUCUAUUAUUGAUUGUUCUUGUGUUAAUUUGUUUGAGUUUCUGUGCAAGAGUCUCUUCUAUUUUGUUGGGUUGUGUUCGCUUUUUGUCAAAGUUAUGUUGUGUGGGAUGAUGAGAAAUGGAUUAUGGGUUUAGCGAAUCUCGCUCUCUUUAUUGGGUUAUCUAUGAAACGGAUGCUUUGUGUUGUGUGUUUGAGAAAGAAUCGGGGCGUGGGAGGAGUUUACGGUAAUGAUGAUUGGAGAGCACGCACACACAUACAUAAAAACAAAAAUGGAAAAUAUAGGAGAUAGUGAUAAUGAUAAUUUAUUCAAAUACAGAGCAGUUGUGAGUUUCUGUACUUUUCUAAUUGACUAAUUGUAUUAAUUUUUAAUUAA
rnacentral:lncRNA from 1 species